rnacentral:rRNA from 1 species
UAGAGUUUGAUCAUGGCUCAGCCUUUGACUUAAAAAAAUGGAGAAGUCGUAACAAGGUAACCGUACGUCGUAACAAGGUAACCGUAGAGUUUGAUCAUGGCUCAGGAAAGUCGUAACAAGGUAGCCGUAGAGUUUGAUCCUGGCUCAGGUGAAGUCGUAACAAGGUAGCCGUAGAGUUGGAUCAUGGCUCAGCCUUUGACUUAAAAAAAUGGAGAAGUCGUAACAAGGUAGCCGUAAGUCGUAACAAGGUAGCCGUAAGUCGUAACAAGGUAACCGUAGAGUUUGAUCCUGGCUCAGCCUUUGACUUAAAAAAAUGGAGAAGUCGUAACAAGGUAACCGUACGUCGUAACAAGGUAACCGUAGAGUUUGAUCAUGGCUCAGGAUAAGUCGUAACAAGGUAGCCGUAAGUCGUAACAAGGUACCGUAGAGUUUGAUCCUGGCUCAGGAUUAACGCUGGCGGCGUGCCUAACACAUGCAAGUCGUAACAAGGUAACCGUAAGUCGUAAAAAGGUAACCA